rnacentral:rRNA from 1 species
CCAUUAGAUGGUCUGGGCGGCACGCGCGCUACAAUGAUGCAUUCAAAAAGUCUUCUGACCUUAGAAGGUUGGGUAUUCUCCAAAGUGCAUCGUGAUGGGAAUAGUUUAUUGCAAUUUUUAAUCUUGAACGAGGAAUUCCUAGUAAGUACAGGUCAUCAACUUGUGUUGAUUACGUCCCUGCCCUUUGUACACACCGCCCGUCGCUCCUACUGAUUGAGUGUCUCGGUGAAUUCUUUGAUCUUCUGUCGAUUCAGUUCACUGAUCCGACGGUGGAAAGUUGAAUGAACUUCGUCACUUAGAGGAAGGAGAAGUCGUAACA